GGGGUGGGGGUGGGGAAAUAGCCCAGCCUUCUCCCCUCUUUCUUGGGACAGACGUGAGGCCCAUUCCACCCCAUCUCCUGGAAGUCUCCAGAGGGGCGGAGCCUCGGCUGUCCCCGCUGCGGCUGGUUCACCAGCGCGUCCUGACUCUGGGAUUCUUCCUUCCCUGCCUCAGUUUCCCCCUUUCCCUACCGGCGCGUCCCGGGAUUGUUGCAGGAUGCUUUUUUAACCUCAAUGCCCAGGAUUCGUUGUCUCGCCGCAAAGAAUGAAGGGGGGGGGGGGCACCGAAUAAAACGAGCAGCCGGCAAAAGUUUAUUAGAGUAUAAGAUCAGAAAGCAAGAAUAGUAGGAAAGCUCUCUUUCCAGAGAAGGGAGUGAAUGCCCGCGACUACAGGCACGGGUCCUUGUUUUAUAAGGUUUUGGUCGCCCCCCCCCCCCCUUCCGCCCCCACUCAUUUCUUCUCUGGUUUUACCCUUAUCGGGGUGAUAACUCUAAAUGCCUAGUCAUUCCUUUUUGAUUGGUUGGUUUCCAUCGUAUGAGGGGUGGUCUAGGGCCACACCGUUCCUUGUGGGUCAUACAUUUUAUGGUCGACUGCUUAUUUUUAGUCAGGUCUUUGGUCAAAUUCCUGAGGGGAACCUGAGGGGGAGCAGGUGGUGUCUGUAACAUUCUUAAGAGGAACCUUAUGCCCCCGGGAGACUGCUGCGGUCAGACGCUCCCAGCCUUGUUUCAAAAUAUGUGUUUUUCCCCACCCAGGGAUCUCACGUCCUAACCUUUCCCUCUCUGCCUGUUUUACCCUCUUUCCCUAUCAUAGGAUCACUGCCCAAAGGAACUUCUCUCAUCCUUAUCUCAGGGUCGGCUUCUGGGGGAACCCAACCAAGAUGAGCAGUGACCAGGAUCACCUCUAGAGAGAGAGAGAGAGAGAGAGAGAAUCCCAAGCAGGCUCUGGUUGUCCGUGCAGAGCCCGACGUUGGGCCCAAUCUCAUGAACCGUGAGAUCAUGACCUGAGCCGAGAUCAAGAGUCGGACGCUUAACCGACUGAGCCACCCGGGCGCCCAUUCAUGGAUUAUCUUAGUCACGGUCACGCCGAGGGAGAGGGACUAUUGUUCGGCCUCCUCUUACAGCCCCACCGGCCACGGCGGUCGAUCGGAACUUCUACAGGCUGCAUUCUGAACACGCACAACGUUGCCAGUAACGGAUUCCUACGUGUAGUCACUUCUGUUUGUUGGCAAAAUCCUGAAAACGUGGAGCUCAUGGGAGACGAGGAUCUUCAAGGGGCUGGGGCGGUGGGAAGGCCAGGACCCCACUGCCCUGGGCUCUGGCUACUAGAACGAUUGACGUGUGGGCUUCUUGUUCUCCAGCUCCACAGCACCUUGGUUUCUCUUCUGUAACCACGUGUGUGUGUGCGCGCGCGCGCGCGUGUGCUGGGGGCAUAAGCUCUGUCUCCCACGUGGAGCUGAGGGCCCAGGACCUCCUUCCCCGGGCCCCUCUCUGUCCUAGGGAUCAGCCAAGGGGAGGGCCUAGGACCCAGGUAUGGACUCUUCCUCUGUAUUGGUCGGCUUUUGUUCUAGUAACAAAGAGCCCCCAGAUCUCAGUGGUUUUUUGUUUUUCUUUUUGGCUCGUGGGCAUGAGGGUUGACUUUGACCCCACUCAGCUCUCAGCCAGGCAUGACAAAUACUGUUCUGCUAGCAGACAGAAGCAAGAGGCUAACCUGAACCACUCAGGUGCAUUUAAAAUCUC